rnacentral:rRNA from 1 species
AGAACGAACGCUGGCGGCAUGCCUAAUACAUGCAAGUCGAACGAACACUUCGGUGUUAGUGGCGCACGGGUGCGUAACGCGUGGGAAUCUGCCCUUGGGUUCGGAAUAACAGUUGGAAACGACUGCUAAUACCGGAUGAUAUCGAAAGAUCAAAGAUUUAUCGCCCAGGGAUGAGCCCGCGUAGGAUUAGCUAGUUGGUGAGGUAAAGGCUCACCAAGGCGACGAUCCUUAGCUGGUCUGAGAGGAUGAUCAGCCACACUGGGACUGAGACACGGCCCAGACUCCUACGGGAGGCAGCGAGUGGGGAAUUUUGGACAAGUGGGCGCAAGACCUGAAUCCAGCAAGUGCCGCGUGACAGGAAGAAGGCCUUCGGUUAGUUAAACGUGU